CCACUCCCUCUCGCCUGCAGUCAAGUACGACCUUAACAACCCAGCCAAGCACGCCAAGCUGGACUUCCUCAACAACCUGGCCACAGGCCUGGUGUUCAUCAUCGUCGUGGUGAACAUCUUUAUCACGGCCUUUGGGGUCCAGAAGCCCAUGGUGGAUGUGGCGCCCCGGCAAUAGGGCACUCAGAAUCUGGAUUGCACCUGCCCAGCCCGGCCACCCAGACCCCAGGAGCUGCCGUGCCCUUGAAGUGUCCACCUCCCUACACGUGGCACUCCCCAAAACUGUCAGAGCCCAGGCCAGCCUCUGCUGGACCAUGUCCCAGGAUGAGCUGCUGCUCCAACUGCGACUGCCGUGCAGAAGGCCACUUCUGUCUCUUGGCUGCUUUUCCCGGGAGGCAGCUCCCUCCUGGCGUGUGGGGGCUAGCCACAAGGUCUGAAAGGUCAGAACUGUACAGCCCAGAGAACUGUGCCCAGCAAAUAGUCGUACCUGCCCAAGGACAUGCAGCAGGUCUGUGGAUGGGCUGGAUGAGGGGACAGGGAUGGCCUCUGUCUCAGAACAUUCCAGAAGGACAAGGAGAUGCCCCUCCCCUGCCAAUGCACCAGCGUCCCCAUCUCUCAUGGGGCCUGCCGCGGUCGUCUUGGUGAUCCUGGCUCUGCCCACUUCCUAUCCCAGAGAUGCUGGGCAGCCAGCACUGCCUUUUGGCCCCAGUGGUGGCCACUGUGUCCGGUCUCAGUGCUUGGGCUUGGUGACCAUCAAGAGGGAAGUGGGGCCACAGGCCCCCCAUACACUCUUCACCAGCAGUGACCGAGCAGAGCCCCAGCCCCCUCUGCGGGGCUCCAAGCCCCCAUUUUUCUAAUCAUGAAUAAUCAAUAAAGCUCACACCCCCCCUCGUAA